CGGAUGCGGCAGCUUACACAUGCAGUCGAGCGGAGAGAGGUAGCUUGCUACUGAUCUUAGCGGCGGACGGGUGAGUAAUGCUUAGGAAUCUGCCUAUUAGUGGGGGACAACAUCUCGAAAGGGAUGCUAAUACCGCAUACGUCCUACGGGAGAAAGCAGGGGAUCUUCGGACCUUGCGCUAAUAGAUGAGCCUAAGUCGGAUUAGCUAGUUGGUGGGGUAAAGGCCUACCAAGGCGACGAUCUGUAGCGGGUCUGAGAGGAUGAUCCGCCACACUGGGACUGAGACACGGCCCAGACUCCUACGGGAGGCAGCAGUGGGGAAUAUUGGACAAUGGGGGGAACCCUGAUCCAGCCAUGCCGCGUGUGUGAAGAAGGCCUUAUGGUUGUAAAGCACUUUAAGCGAGGAGGAGGCUACUUUAGUUAAUACCUAGAGAUAGUGGACGUUACUCGCAGAAUAAGCACCGGCUAACUCUGUGCCAGCAGCCGCGGUAAUACAGAGGGUGCAAGCGUUAAUCGGAUUUACUGGGCGUAAAGCGCGCGUAGGCGGCUAAUUAAGUCAAAUGUGAAAUCCCCGAGCUUAACUUGGGAAUUGCAUUCGAUACUGGUUAGCUAGAGUGUGGGAGAGGAUGGUAGAAUUCCAGGUGUAGCGGUGAAAUGCGUAGAGAUCUGGAGGAAUACCGAUGGCGAAGGCAGCCAUCUGGCCUAACACUGACGCUGAGGUGCGAAAGCAUGGGGAGCAAACAGGAUUAGAUACCCUGGUAGUCCAUGCCGUAAACGAUGUCUACUAGCCGUUGGGGCCUUUGAGGCUUUAGUGGCGCAGCUAACGCGAUAAGUAGACCGCCUGGGGAGUACGGUCGCAAGACUAAAACUCAAAUGAAUUGACGGGGGCCCGCACAAGCGGUGGAGCAUGUGGUUUAAUUCGAUGCAACGCGAAGAACCUUACCUGGCCUUGACAUAGUAAGAACUUUCCAGAGAUGGAUUGGUGCCUUCGGGAACUUACAUACAGGUGCUGCAUGGCUGUCGUCAGCUCGUGUCGUGAGAUGUUGGGUUAAGUCCCGCAACGAGCGCAACCCUUUUCCUUAUUUGCCAGCGAGUAAUGUCGGGAACUU
rnacentral:rRNA from 1 species